ACUUGCUUCUUUUUGGGGGCUAGAUGUUAAUAGGUGUCUAUUAGAAAAAUUAAAAUGGUUAACAAAGGAUGGCCUUGUCCUGUUUGACCUAAAAGAGCAUUACACUAAAAAUGUUUUUAUCAUUGAGGAUAACCAGUAUCCAGAUAAGCAGUCCCCCCCCCCCCCAAAAAAAAGUUAUGUUUUUGUUCAGAAAGAUUUUUGGCCACGCCCAUGGCAUGCAGGAGUCCUGGGCCAGUGAUUGAACCUGCGUUAGAGCAGUGACUGCCAGAUUCCUUAACCACAAGGCCACCAGGGAACUCCUUGACUCACUUUGAUAUGAAAAAUGUCAAUUAUCUGUUACUAUAAUGAAGUUUUCUUUCGCUUUUUUUUAACAGCCACCCCCAUGGCGUAUGGAAGUUCCCAGGCCAGGGAUUGAUUCCAACAUAUGGUACAGCUGUGGCAACACUGGAUCCUUUAACCCACUGUGCCAGGGAUCCAACCCAUACCUUUGCAUCAGCCUAAGUCACUACAGUCAGAGUCUUUGUUUUUUUUUUUUAGGGCCACAUCCUUGGCUAUGGAAAUUCCCGGACUGCUGCCCUAUGCCACAGCCACAGUAAUGCCAGAUCCAAGCUGUGUCUGCGACCUACACCACAGCUCACAGCAACACUGGAUCUUUAACCCACUAAACAAGGCCGGGGAUCAAACUGACAUCCUCAUGGAUAUUAGGUUUGUUACUGCUUGGCCACAUGGGGAACUCCCUGCAAUCAGAUUCUUAAUCCAGUGUGCCACAGUGGGAACUCCUCUUUUACAUUUUUUAUUUUGCUAGAGUGUUGUUAGGGUUAGCUAUUAGUUAUAUCACAUCUUGGUGUUUCUUAGCUUGCAGAUUGCAGACCGUCAGUGGGUCAUGAAAUCAGUUUAGUGGAUCUUUUUUUAACGCAAUAAAGUAAGGUAGAGAAUAACAGUGUAGGAGUUACACAUACAUAUUACUGAAUAUUGAAUCUAAGUGUGAAGUGUAUUUCUUCACAAGUAUAAGACACCUCUAGAAGUUGCAAAACAGUGAUGUAACUAAUAAGUUUGUUUUCUUGAUGUAGAUUUUUCUUUAUUGUGGACAAAUGUGCAAGAAUGUCAUUAUUUGUAGUUAUGAGCAUAGAACAGGAUUCAUUAGAGGCAAUUGUAGAUUGGACUCUUCAGAGAGUUGAGUUUCUGACACCCCCAAAGGCCCAUCUCACCUUCUCUUCCAUCUGUGAGUCCUGAGGUGUUGAUUGUUCAGCUGAGUCCCUGAGAGGAAGUGUCUGAUGGGUGGCUCCGGAAUCAGCCUGGAUUUCACAUCUGGCUCUGCCACCCUGCAGCUACAUAACCUUAGACAAGUUCCUUAACUUCUCUCAGACUCAGUUUCCUCGUCUGUGUGUAGAUAUACCAGUGACAUGAUAGAGAGCUGAUGGGGAUUAAGUAAGAGAGUGAUUAUGAAGUGAUUUGUACAGUUCCUGGCAGCUGGGCAGGCUCAGUAAACAGACUUUUACGAUCUGAUACUGUGAAGCUCCAAAAGAUUUCUGACACGGAAGCAGUCUAAAUGUCCAUCAGUAGAUGAAUGGGUAUAGAAGAUGUGGUAUAUACACAUAAACACACACUGGAGUAUUACUCAGCCAUAAAAAAGAAUGAAAUAAUGCUAUUUGCAGCAACAUGGAUGGACCUAGAGAUUAUCAUACUAAGUAAGUCAAACAGAGAAAGAUAAAUACUAUAGGGUAUCAUUUAUACGUGGAAUCUAAAAAAAUGAUACAAAACAGUUAUAUAGAAAACAGACUUGGGGCUAUCAAAAGGGAAAGCUGAGGGAGGGAUAAAUGAGGGUUUUGGAAUUAACAGAUAUACACUACCAUAUAUCAAAUAGAUAAAGAGGAAGGACCUACUGAAUAGCACAGGGAACUACUCAAUAUCUUAUAAUGACCUAUAGUAGAAAUAAAUCUGAAAAAGAAUAUAUAUGUAUAAUUUGUAGAGUUGAAUCACUAUUCUGUAUAUCUGAAACAUUGUAAAUCAACUACACUUCAA